rnacentral:lncRNA from 1 species
CCAGAGAUAGGCUCAUAGGACCAGGACAUGCCGGAGAUGGCCGUGAAACUUAAAUCGGAGACAAUCUGAACGAAAACCUUCAAGGUCAGACUUGAAUCUUCCAGUAGCAGGUGUACAAGAGCACAUGGAGAUGAGUACAGGCCACCCAGGGCCUGGGGAAGCCAUAGAUUCCAGUGAAACAUAGUGGAAGUCGGUAGGAGAAGGUUAGAGUUUCGGAGGGGCUAGAGAGAGUUUGAGACAAAGG